CCUACGGGAGGCAGCAGUGGGGAAUAUUGGGCAAUGCGCGCAAGCCUGACCCAGCAACGCCGCGUGAAGGAAGAAGGCUUUCGGGUUGUAAACUUCUUUUGACAGGGAAGAGAAGACGACGGUACCUGUCGAAUAAGCUACGGCUAACUACGUGCCAGCAGCCGCGGUAAUACGUAGGUGGCAAGCGUUGUCCGGAUUUACUGGGUGUAAAGGGCGUGUAGCCGGGCUGACAAGUAAGAUGUGAAAUCCGAGGGCUCAACCCCCGAACGGCCUGUGAAACUGUUGGUCUUGAGUAUCGGAGAGGCAGGCAGAAUUCCUGGUGUAGCGGUGAAAUGCGUAGAUAUUAGGAGGAACACCAGUGGCGAAGGCGGCCUGCUGGACGACAACUGACGGUGAGGCGCGAAAGCGUGGGUAGCAAACAGGAUUAGAUACCCGAGUAGUC
rnacentral:rRNA from 1 species